UUUAAGGGUUUCAGUUAUAGACAAUUCUGGAAGUGCAUCAUUAACAUUAUGGGAUAGAGAGUGCAUGGAAUUAAUUGGUAAAUCAGCUGAAGAUUUAAGUGUGGUAAGAAGUUUGUCAAUGUUAUCAUAUCAGAAAUAAUAAUAUAACGUUUUAACUGUUUUUAUUGUUUAUUCAUUUUUAAAUUUUGAAGGAGUUUGGUGGGAGUGAUAUAUAUGCCUUUCGAUGCGAAUUUGGUAGUGGGCAUAAGUUCUCUUUUCAAGAUCAAUAUCAAAUGUGGAGAGACAAAACUUAUGGAUGGUGCUUAUGGAGUUGCAAAAAUUAAUUGUGAUGAAGAAAUCAUUGCAAAAUACUGCAAGAUACAAACUGGAAGUGAACUCAACAAGGAUGGAAGCUCAAGUAAUGCAACAUCAUCUAAGAAUGAUUCACUCCCAACAGAAUUGGUGAACUUAAGUGAUGAUGAGUCGCUUAAGAGAUCUACAGAUGAAGCUAAACCAGUUGUGAUGAACAAGAAAGGCAAGAGAGUUGCAAUCAAGAAAGAGAAGAUUUAGGAAGUCGAAUGAGAAUGCAGUACUUUGAAUAUUUCUUAAUUAUUAUAGUUUAGUUAGUAGGAUUUUUAAUUAUUAUGUUGAUAGGAUCUCAUAUUAAAAUGUUAUUAGGAUUUGAAAUUAUUCUGUUCUUAUGAUUACUAAUGUUAUCGUAUUUGAAUUAAAUAUGGAGUACUUUGGCUAUAUUAAUUUUAUCGUUACUUUUGAUAUAAUUAUUAUUUUGAGUAAAAGAAUCAAAUAAAG
rnacentral:lncRNA from 1 species